GGGGAUCGAUGGGGACGAAUGACAUGUGUGGACCCAUCGUGGUAUGCAAUGUUGUGGGAUUAGGUUCACUUGGCAAGGUUUAAAAACUCGAUUCGAAUCGUCUGUCUCUCACAAUUUGAGACUGCUUGACUGCUAUGCUGCAUUGAGUAGUAAGUGGAACAAAGAAUGAUUAUUUAAUGAUGAUGCUUGGAAUAAAAUGUUUGCUCAACUUGCUUGUCUAGAACAGGUGCAUACUAGAAUGAUUAAUCUACUAAAACCUGCUGCUAAAACUUGAAAGUAAGGAUUUACUUUAGAUGCUUUUGGCAAAACAAACCCCUCAGCUAAGAAGCCUUGCAUAUUUAGAAGUUGAUGAAGUAGUUACCACCC
rnacentral:lncRNA from 1 species